rnacentral:rRNA from 1 species
AGAGUUUGAUCCUGGCUCAGGACGAACGCUGGCGGCGUGCCUAACACAUGCAAGUCGAGCGAUGAAACCCUUCGGGGUGGAUUAGCGGCGGACGGGUGAGUAACACGUGGGUAACCUGCCUCAAAGAGGGGGAUAGCCUCCCGAAAGGGAGAUUAAUACCGCAUAACAUUAGUUUUUCGCAUGAAGAACUAAUUAAAGGAGCAAUCCGCUUUGAGAUGGACCCGCGGCGCAUUAGCUAGUUGGUGAGGUAACGGCUCACCAAGGCGACGAUGCGUAGCCGACCUGAGAGGGUGAUCGGCCACAUUGGAACUGAGACACGGUCCAGACUCCUACGGGAGGCAGCAGUGGGGAAUAUUGCACAAUGGGCGAAAGCCUGAUGCAGCAACGCCGCGUGAGUGAUGAAGGCCUUCGGGUUGUAAAGCUCUGUCUUUGGGGACGAUAAUGACGGUACCCAAGGAGGAAGCCACGGCUAACUACGUGCCAGCAGCCGCGGUAAUACGUAGGUGGCGAGCGUUGUCCGGAUUUACUGGGCGUAAAGGAUGCGUAGGCGGAUGUUUAAGUGAGAUGUGAAAUACCCGAGCUUAACUUGGGUGCUGCAUUUCAAACUGGAUAUCUAGAGUGCGGGAGAGGAGAAUGGAAUUCCUAGUGUAGCGGUGAAAUGCGUAGAGAUUAGGAAGAACACCAGUGGCGAAGGCGAUUCUCUGGACCGUAACUGACGCUGAGGCAUGAAAGCGUGGGGUAGCAAACAGGAUUAGAUACCCUGGUAGUCCACGCCGUAAACGAUGAGUACUAGGUGUAGGA